GGACUGUCGCGUAGCGGGGUUCGCAUCGAGUAGGUCUGGGGUUCGAUUCCCCAUAGCUCCACCA
rnacentral:tRNA from 1 species